rnacentral:rRNA from 1 species
AUGGCGGCCGCAUCCAUGCUCACCACCGUCUUCUCCCCUCUCGCCCUCCUCCGCCCGUCGGCCUCCUUCGCGCGCCUGCGCCGCGCGGCUCCCGCCGCCGCCGUCGCCGUGCGCGCCGCGGCCAAGUCUACCACGGCCGCGGCGGCCCCCAAGAAGAAGAGGGCGGCGCCGACCGGCAUCACCAUGCCCCGGCCCGUGUCCCCGGCGCUGCAGGCGUUCAUGGGCGCCGCCGAGGUCCCCCGCACCGAGGCCAUGAAGCGCAUCUGGGCCUACAUCAAGCAGAACAACCUCCAGGACCCUGAGGACAAGAAGGUCAUCGUUUGCGAUGAGAAGCUGAAAGCCCUGUUUGCAGGCAGAGACCGUGUUGGGUUCCUGGAGAUUGCCAAGCUUCUGACCCCGCACUUUGUCAAGACUCCGUGA